ACAAGUCCUGUUGGCAAAUGGACCCCAGGUGGCCUGCAGUGCCAAGCUGUUUCCCUGCCAGCCUCCCAGUCUGGCCCUGACUCUCCAAUGGCCUGGUCUGCUUGGUGAGACCUCAGCAGCUUUGGAACCUGCUUUUCUAGAGACCUCUCCAGAAUCUCCUGGCCAGGACAGCACUGAGUUCAAUGUCUCACAAUUGCUGUACUCUCCUCUCCCCGUGACCAGAGACACUCUCUGAACCGUGCUGCAGCUGCCAGAAGGAUGGGAGUGGGAUGGUGUCAGGAUUCAAGGCUAUGUUUUCUACCUCUUCAGUGCCUCUUUCAGUGAUACGAAGUUAAAACCAGGUUCUUCCCCAAACCAUCAUGGACCAGUUGGACUCUGAGAAGAAAAGUUUCUGAUCUUUAGUUCAUUCUUCCAACUCUCUAGAAAGCAGGAAAACUGAGAAUGAAAAAUUCUAAAUUACUCAGGACUCAUGGGUUGCCAAUAGAAGAAAUACAUCUUAAACUAGCUUAAGCCUGAAAGGGAAAUGUAUUUGUUCAUGUAACUGAACCAUAACGAAGGAUGGUGGACUGAGGGACCUGAAAACACCCUCAGGACUCCCUCCCUCUCCUUUGUGCUCCUGUCUGAUGCCGUCUUCCCAGACCUGCUCACUCUCCAUAAGGUGGGGAUGUGGCCAUCAGCAACGUGUACUUCCCCGAAGCUUGUGACCUGAGUAGAUAGGCAUCUCCCAACCCACAAGGAUUGAAAAGUUCCUCUAGGAAUUAUGUGGAUUGGCCCAUUCACUAUGACAUGUUCCCCCUAAGCAGCUAAAGGAACUGGGUCUGUUACCAGAAGAGGUGGGAGAGGGGUGCUAGGCAGAUUGAACAACAGCCACUACAACAUCUGAGGAGGAGACCUCCGUGAAGGCCACCAAGUCUGCUAGCAGAUAUUUCCUCCCUCGGAUCUCUCUCCCUGUCCUCACAGUCUCAUAAGUGAGGAUUAAAUACUACAUGUGGCCUAGGAGAUCUUAGACCCUCCACACGAAGAUAUAGUAACAAUCAACAUCCUAGUGUUCUGGCAGAGAAAAAAUCAGAAAGAAUCGUUUGCCUGAUUUUUCCAUCAAUACCAAUAAUUAAUUAGAGAUGAAAUUUGUGAUGGACUCAGAGAAUUAGAGAAGAUCUAAGGGAAUCUAGAUGAUUUCCUACCCCUAACCAGAGCCUCACAAAAAAGGGUGAAGAUCUAUGGCCGUCUUGCGUUUGGUGUGAGGCUGGACAAGGAAGUUCCUAAGGUCCUUUAGACUCUGUGAGAUCAUGAGUCCGUAAAACCCUUCCAACUUGAAAUUAGUUGAUUCCUUCCUUAAAUUUUCUGGGACAUUCCCCCACUCCCUCCACUCUUAUUAGCUGAUUUUACUGACCAAUAGGCCUUGAAGUUGGGCGUUCCAUCUAGAUGUCUCACAUCAACUCACCUUUUGCAAAUUAAGCCCAUACCCUUAAAGAGGGGAAUUCUCAAGCCAUUAGAAACUAGAGAGUCAGCUGGGCAUGGUGGCUCACGCCUGUAAUCCCAGAACUUUGGGAGGCCAAGGUGGGUGGAUCACUUGAGGUCAGGAGUUCGAGUCCAGCCUGACCAACAUGGCGAAACCCCGUCUCUACUAAAAAUACAAAAAUUAGCCAGGGGUGAUGGCAUGCACCUGUAAUCCCAGCUACUCAGGAGGCUGAGGCAGGAGAAUUGCUUGAACCUGGGAGGCGGAGGUUGCAGUGAGCCAAGUUUGCACCACAGCACUCCAGCCUGGGCAACAGAGUGAGACUCAGUUU
rnacentral:lncRNA from 10 species